rnacentral:rRNA from 1 species
AGAGUUUGAUCCUGGCUCAGGAUGAACGCUGGCGGCGUGCCUAAUACAUGCAAGUCGAGCGAACGGACGAGAAGCUUGCUUCUCUGAUGUUAGCGGCGGACGGGUGAGUAACACGUGGAUAACCUACCUAUAAGACUGGGAUAACUUCGGGAAACCGGAGCUAAUACCGGAUAAUAUUUUGAACCGCAUGGUUCAAAAGUGAAAGACGGUCUUGCUGUCACUUAUAGAUGGAUCCGCGCUGCAUUAGCUAGUUGGUAAGGUAACGGCUUACCAAGGCAACGAUGCAUAGCCGACCUGAGAGGGUGAUCGGCCACACUGGAACUGAGACACGGUCCAGACUCCUACGGGAGGCAGCAGUAGGGAAUCUUCCGCAAUGGGCGAAAGCCUGACGGAGCAACGCCGCGUGAGUGAUGAAGGUCUUCGGAUCGUAAAACUCUGUUAUUAGGGAAGAACAUAUGUGUAAGUAACUGUGCACAUCUUGACGGUACCUAAUCAGAAAGCCACGGCUAACUACGUGCCAGCAGCCGCGGUAAUACGUAGGUGGCAAGCGUUAUCCGGAAUUAUUGGGCGUAAAGCGCGCGUAGGCGGUUUUUUAAGUCUGAUGUGAAAGCCCACGGCUCAACCGUGGAGGGUCAUUGGAAACUGGAAAACUUGAGUGCAGAAGAGGAAAGUGGAAUUCCAUGUGUAGCGGUGAAAUGCGCAGAGAUAUGGAGGAACACCAGUGGCGAAGGCGACUUUCUGGUCUGUAACUGACGCUGAUGUGCGAAAGCGUGGGGAUCAAACAGGAUUAGAUACCCUGGUAGUCCACGCCGUAAACGAUGAGUGCUAAGUGUUAGGGGGUUUCCGCCCCUUAGUGCUGCAGCUAACGCAUUAAGCUCUCCGCCUGGGGAGUACGACCGCAAGGUUGAAACUCAAAGGAAUUGACGGGGACCCGCACAAGCGGUGGAGCAUGUGGUUUAAUUCGAAGCAACGCGAAGAACCUUACCAAAUCUUGACAUCCUUUGACAACUCUAGAGAUAGAGCCUUCCCCUUCGGGGGACAAAGUGACAGGUGGUGCAUGGUUGUCGUCAGCUCGUGUCGUGAGAUGUUGGGUUAAGUCCCGCAACGAGCGCAACCCUUAAGCUUAGUUGCCAUCAUUAAGUUGGGCACUCUAAGUUGACUGCCGGUGACAAACCGGAGGAAGGUGGGGAUGACGUCAAAUCAUCAUGCCCCUUAUGAUUUGGGCUACACACGUGCUACAAUGGACAAUACAAAGGGCAGCGAAACCGCGAGGUCAAGCAAAUCCCAUAAAGUUGUUCUCAGUUCGGAUUGUAGUCUGCAACUCGACUACAUGAAGCUGGAAUCGCUAGUAAUCGUAGAUCAGCAUGCUACGGUGAAUACGUUCCCGGGUCUUGUACACACCGCCCGUCACACCACGAGAGUUUGUAACACCCGAAGCCGGUGGAGUAACCUUUUAGGAGCUAGCCGUCGAAGGUGGGACAAAUGAUUGGGGUGAAGUCGUAACAAGGUAGCCGUAUCGGAAGGUGCGGCUGGAUCACCU